rnacentral:misc_RNA from 1 species
AAGUCGUAACAAGGUUUCCGUAGGUGAACCUGCGGAAGGAUCAUUAAAGAAUUCGGCUUCGCGGCCAAGUUCUCACCCUUUGUAUACCGAAACUUUGUUGCUUUGGCAGCGCCUUUAGGGCCUGCCAGAGGUCCGAAACCCUAGAAUCUCUGCCGUCUGAGUACUAUAUAAUAGUUAAAA